rnacentral:rRNA from 1 species
AGUGAACGCUGGCGGUAGGCCUAACACAUGCAAGUCGAACGGCCGCACAGUAAGUGCUUGCUCUUACGUGAGUAGAGUGGCGGAAGGGUGAGGUAUACUCCGGAAUAUACAUUUUCGCGGGGGCUAACGUAGGGUAACUUACGCUAAUACCGCAUACAACCUCCUGGUGAAAGCCGGGGAUCUUCGGACCUUGCGCGAUUGUAUGAGCCGAUGUCGGAUGAGAUAGUUGGCGGGGUAAAGGCACACACAGGCCACGAUCCGUAGCUGGUCUGAGAGGAUGAUCAGCCACACUGGAACUGAGACAGGGUCCAGACUCCUACGGGGAGCAGCAGUGGGGAAUAUUGGACGAUGCGCGCAAGCCUGAUCCUGCCAUAUCGCGUGAAUGAAGAAGGCGCUCUGGUUGUAGAGUGCUUUUGGUGGGAGAGAAAAGCAGCUGUUUAAUCCGCCGCUGUUCUGACGGUACCCAAAGAAUAAGCACCGGCUAACUUCGUG